GGGUGCGAUCAUACCAGCACUAAUGCACCGGAUCCCAUCAGAACUCCGCAGUUAAGCGUGCUUGGGCGAGAGUAGUACUAGGAUGGGUGACCCCCUGGGAAGUCCUCGUGUUGCACCCCUUU
rnacentral:rRNA from 1 species